AAAGCUUGGAUGACUAGAUGGGACAUGCUUGUGUCACCUCCUCGACGAUCUGUCAUCCUGAUCAGAAGUCGAAUGUUCAGGCGAUUUUAACGUGAAAGGUCGAUGAACGAUGGCAGUUAUUGAAGUCAAGUAUAUAAAUGAAAACGCAAUCAAUACGGAGAACUCUGGAUUUUACAAUUAAGCUCCGCCCCUCGGUCUCACGGCGAAUGAAACAUUCAUUACAAUGGAGAUUAGGGCGGUAAUACGAUACUUCAAAACAAAUGUCACAUGGUUAUUUCUUGUGGAGAAAGAAGAAUCCUCACAAUUGAGACAGAGUGGGUGGGCGGGGCUUAUAUUUCGCGGUUUUGUUUUUAAAUAUACGUAGUUUUCUUUUCAAAACAAGAAACUUAAACCACAUUUGAAUUUUUGUAGGGAAGUAUGGAUUUUACAAUUAAGCUCCGCCCCUUGGUCUGACGACGAAUGAAAAGUUCGUUACAAUGGAGACUG